rnacentral:rRNA from 1 species
UACGUAGGGUGCAAGCGUUAAUCGGAAUUACUGGGCGUAAAGCGUGCGCAGGCGGUUUUGUAAGUCUGUCGUGAAAGCCCCGGGCUCCACCUGGGAAUUGCAUUGGAGACUGCAAGGCUAGAAUCUGGCAGAGGGGGGUAGAAUUCCACGUGUAGCAGUGAAAUGCGUAGAGAUGUGGAGGGACACCGAUGGCGAAGGCAGCCCCCUGGGGCAAGAUUGACGCUCAUGCACGAAAGCGUGGGGAGCAAACAGG